UCUUGCAGCAAAGCAUAUGCAUACAAGAAUACUAAAAAAUAAAAGGACAGCAAAGAAACUGUGGGACAGUAGGACUAGGAGGAGGUUGUUUUCUCACAGGUCGACCUCUGGCUAACUAAGGAACUGUCUGGAAGCCACUCUUGAGUGCUCAAAAGCCACUAUGCUUGGUGGGAGCUGGCGCCCUCUGGCUGGGGCUCUGAGUGAGCCCUGCCCACACCAUUGAAGGUGCCCUGAGCCGGUUUCACAGUUUUGCCAGGAAAGACUCACAGCCACCAGACCUGGGAGGAAAGAAAGAAGGACUUGAUGUUCAAGGAUACCUAAUGUGCUGUAUAGCUCACAUCUGAAAGUCGUCAUGAAAAUCAAGCUCCAUUCCUCUUCCAACGACCUAUUUUUUGAAACCUGGGAAGAUAGCCAUCCUGUCUGGUGCACCUGGAACUUCAGCUUUUCAGUAAAGGAAAAUCUCUCAAAAAAAAGUAACCACAAAAGGAAUGAACCCCGAAAAUUAGAAUUAGAGGUAACGCCCGAUCG